rnacentral:lncRNA from 1 species
GCAACUGCAACCGCGUCAUCUCCAACCUAUCCGGCAAUCCAGGUAACACAAACCUGUCGCUGUCGGAUUUCGCCGCAAGAUGGGGUGCGUACUUCUCCACCGCGUGCGCAGCGGAGAGAGCGAGAUAAUUUAUGCAGUGAAACAUGAUCCUGGGAAUUCGGAGCUUGGCGGCGGCUUCGACAGUCCAAGGGUGGAACAUGUCGGUGACGAUGAAGUCUGGUCGGAGGUCGUGGAAGAGCUGUUCGAAGCAAGGUUGGAGAAUGGCGAGACCCAUGUAGAUUCUGGGGGCCAUCUCGGGAGGCGUGUCGACGUUGAACGCUUCGAUCCCCGGCGGAAGCCCCACUUGGGCGGCGGGGAAGUUAACCAAGUGCGUUCUGAUGGAGCGGCCGCGACUGGAGUCGAGGUCGACGGACUUCUGAAAAACGGUGGCGUUUCCCGGCGUGGUGAUUAUGGUAACGUCUAUGCCAUGAAUGGCGAAGAGCCUGGCCAUGUCCACCAGAGGAAUUAUGUGACUAGUUGACAGAAAAGGAAGGAAAACUGACUUUAGGUUUAGCUCACCCUCUUUCCCCAUUCUUAUGCUAAUUCUUAUUCUUCACAACAUAUUCUUCUUAUUCAUCCCUUCCUCUUAUUUAUAUGCUCGGGUUUUCACCCACCUUUUUUUUCAGUUUUCAUUAAAAUGGGAUAACUUUCAAAAAAAAAUUACAAAAAUUUGAACAAGUUUGAAUUUGUGUGAAGUUGACACGACUUCUCACACAUAAACCUUUAAAAUCGUGUCACGACACGAUUUUAUCCAUAUAUAUAUUAUUUUAUAUAUUUUUUAAAAUUUUCUUAUUUAGAUAUUGAAUAGUAAGUUAUGUAAUGUUUAAAAUUAAUUUGAUAGAUAAUUUUCUAAGGGUGUUAGUUUUAAGCAAUAAAAAAAAUGAAUAAUUGUGUAUGGAUCAUGUUUUACGGUAAUGUAAUAUAUUAAUUUGGUUAUUAGAUUAAUAAAAAAUAGGAAAAACAAAAAAAUGUUCAUAUUGCACAACCGAAUGUCACAAUAGAAGCAAUUGUCCGCACAAACAAACUUGAUAAUAAAAUUCAAUUUCAUGUUUGAUUAUUAAUUUCCUCAUUUUCUUUACCUAAGUAUUUAUUCUUUCAUAAAAAAAUUAUUUAUCAAAUUAAUUUCAAAUAUUACAUAACUUAUAAUUUUAAUUAUAAUUAAAUAAUUAUAAUAUAUAUAUAUAUAUUUAAAAACAAAAAAAAUUUUAAAAAAAAAUAAUGUGGACAAAGUUGUAUCAACUUGACACGAUUUCAAGUUGACGUAACAGAAAUCGUGCUAACUUGACACAACUUCAAACUGAUAUGACAAAGUUGUAUCAAUUUGGCACGACUUCAUAUGUAGAAGUCGUGCUAAGUUAACACGACUUGCUCCAGAUUUAUAAUUUUUUAACCGCGACCCAAUUUUGGUAAAAAAGAAAAAAAAGACCCCAUGAUAAAAAAAAAAAAAAAACCUAUAUCCUCUCAUUGUAAACACUGCAAUCUCUUCUUACAAACUAUCACGUUUAUUAAUUAAUAAGUAAACUUUUAACUCCAAUUCAAAAGUAACAAGAUAUGUCACUUCGUACUUAUGAAGCACGUGUCAAUCAAGGCCUUCUUUUAGAGUAUUAUAUUUUAUUCACCGUGUGCCUCGAGACUCUCGGGUACUUGGACCAUUCCCUCUAAGAAAGUUUUCUAAAAUCAUACAAAUAACAUACACUAAAAAAAUAAAUUUAUAAUCUUAUAUUUUUAUCCAUUAAAAAAUUAUAAUUUCAAUCACAUAUAUCACAUCAAUAACAAAUUUUUUAAUUUUUUUCCACAUUUUCCACUCUCUUUUCGUUGAUCUAAACAAUAUUUCUUUUACACUCUUCAAUCAUCUCUAUCGUAGAUUUUAAAAUAUUUAAAUAUAUUAAAUUGAUCUCUUUUUAAGUUAUUUUAUAUUUAAAUAUUUAAAUAUUCUGUAUUGAAUGGAUAAUUCAAAUUCAAUGAACUUUUAUAUUUUUAGAUAAAAUAUUUUAGUUACCAUCAAAUACAAUAAAUUAUUUAAAUGUUAAAUAAUUAUUAAAAAAAUUAAAGAUAUCUGUAGUUAGUUUAUAUUGUUUUUCUAUCAAAGUUCAUGGAAAUUUUCUUAAUUAAUAUCUAUUACAUUUUUUAUCUAUAAACAUAGUUCAUGUUGAUAUCAAUCAAGGUUACUUUUAUGUUGAUGAUUGGUGGGUUUUCGUAGACUGUUUUUUUUUUUCUCCGCUAAAAGAAUCCUCCCAAUUAAUAUUGAUAAAAACAAUGAGAUAAUGUUGGUCGAAAAGUUAUUUAAUGGUCAACAAAAACAGAUUCUAACAAUUUGGAUAGAAAAAGUUUAUUUUGAGAAGUAAAUAUCACAUUAGACUAAAAAUUAUUUUUCCUUUCAUCUUUGUAAUUAUUGUAAUAGGAAGAAAAUGACAUAUAUUAGAUGAUAAAUUUAUUUAUAUGUUAACCGAGAACAAUUAUCAUGAUACUGACAAGGUAUUGAUGAAUAUUGUGGUUGAUUCACGAAUCAGUGGAAGAUAUGGUAGAGGCAAAGGUCGCAGUUUUAAUGGACUAGGCGGAAGGGGAAAUAAUUCCCAUUUUUGUACGUAUUGUGGAAGAAAUAAUCAUAUAGUGGAUACAUGUUAUCAGAAACAUGGUUUUCCACGAGGUUACAAAUUCAAGCAAGGAGCAACAAAAUCUGCUCAUACGGCUGCAUCCGUUAAUUCUUAAGAAGAUGUUACUCCUUUCGAGGCUAAUCCACCCAAUUUUAACAUUCAGAUUUCUCAAGAACCGUACAACAGUUUAAUGGCUUUGAUCCAACAAUUAUCUUGUUAAACUCCUGCUUUGAAUCAUAUUUGUACGUCCCAAAUCAAUUCAGCCAAAUCAAGUAACUUUUCUAAUCAUUGAUUAUUAGACACAGGGCUACAGAUCAUAUAUGUUAUAAUAAAAAUAUUUUCUUCUCCAUUCAUAGUAUUUUGCAUGUCCUAGUCUCUUUACCUAACGAAAGUCAAUUAAGGGUUAACUAGUCUGGUACAACUCAAAUAUCUCCCUUACUCACUUUGACUGAUGUUUUGUAUGCAUCUUCAUUUCAUGUCAAAUUGAUUUAUAUUUCUAAAUUGACCACAAAUCACAAUUGUUUAACCAUUUUUCAACCUUUUAUUUCUUUCAUUAUUCAUACGUUGAUAUGUACAGCUGAGAGAUCACACAAACUUUAUCAAUUGAGGAAUUCUAGUAUCCAUCAGGUGUCACAAACAAAAAUUAGGAUGAGCAGACUUGAAAGUGAGAGUUCGUGUCUUCCAAAUAAGACUGCCGACAUCAACAAAUCUUGUGUAGAUAUUGAUAAUGCUAAACUUUGGCAUUUUCGUAUGGGACAUUUGUUUCAUGAUAGGUUGAAAAUUUUGUCUUCAUAUUACUCAAAUAUUUCCAUAGGUUCUAUUCAUCCUUGUGAUACAUGUCAUUUUGCUAAACAAAAACGACUAUAUUUUUCUUCUAGUCCUACUAAAUCAAAUUUUUUGAUUUGCUUCAUGCUGAUAUAUGGGGUCCUUUUAAUCAUGCUUCCUUUGAAGGGUAUAAGUAUUUUUUAACUCUUGUAGAUGAUUUUACCUGAUAUACAUGGAUUUGUUUAAUGAAAACUAAAGCUGAAACACGCACACAUUUACAAAAUUUCAUCAAUAUGAUUGAAAAUCAGUUUAAUAUUCAUUUGAAAGUAUUAAGAAGUGAUAAUGGUCCUGAGUUCCUUAUGACUGAUAUCUUUAAUAGAAAAGGGAUUGUUCAUCAAACUAGUUGUGUGGAAACUCCACAACAGAAUAAUGUUGUUGAACGCAAACAUCAACAUAUUUUGAAUGUCGCUCGUGCACUGAUUUUUCAGUCUCAAUUACCUCUUUGAUUUUGGUCAUAUGUUGUCAAGCACUCUGUUCAUUUAAUUAAUAAAACUCCUACUCCUCUUUUACAUGAUAAAUCACCAUAUCAAAUGGUUUAUAAUUACAUACCAAAUUUAUCUCAUAUAAAUUUUUUUGAUUGUUUGGAUUUCGCUACUACUAGUAGUGUUCAAAGAACAAAGCUUAAUUAUAGAGCUAGAAAAUGUGUUUUUCUCGGUUACAAAGAUGGGGUAAAAAGUUUUACUCUUUUUUAUAUGAAUCAGAAAAAUAUUUUUGUGACACGUGAUGUUAUUUUUUAUGAAAAACAUUUUCCUUUUUAUAAGGAUAACAUAGAUACCAAUUUGGACACACAUGAUAUGUUUAAGCAUUUGCUUCCUUCUGUUUCUGAUAAUGAUAUUGUUGUGCCUAACUACAUCUGUUAGUGAUAUUGUUUCUUCAGUUUUUGAAACUAUAUUACCAUCCUGCCUUCCUGCUAUUGAUUCUUCUACACCACUACAUUUAAUUGAUAUUGAUGUCUUGCAACACCAACAUUCUGAUCCACAACCUUCAUCUAUUUGAGUUUCUACUCGCUCAAACAAAAACCUGGAUACUUGAAGGACUACCACACUACUUUCUUCUCUUCAAAAGAUGUUAUCAAUCAUUCUUUAGGUACUAAAUAUCCUAUUCAAAAGUAUCCCUCUUAACAUAAUUGUUCUCCUAUAUAUUCUUCUUUUUGUCAUAAUAUUUCUUCUAUCUAAGAACCUAAAUCAUUUAAAGAGGUGAUGCAACAUGAUUAUUGAAAAGGAGCUAUGCAACGUGAACUUGAUGUUCUUUAGUCUAAUGAAACAUGGCAUUUGAUGGAUUUGCCUCUUGGAAAGCAUCCUAUUGGGUGUAAAUGGGUUUUCAAAGCCAAGCAUAAACCAAACGGUGUCAUUAGGUACAAGACUCAUUUGGUUGCCAAAGGAUAUACUCAGACCGAAGGUAUUGAGUAUUUUGAGACUUUGUCUCCGAUAGUUAAAAUUACUACCAUUCGAUUUAUUUUUUCUUUAGCAAGUGCUAAGGGAUGGAUUCUUCAUCAACUAGAUGUGAAUAAUGUUUUUCUUCAUGGCGAUCUUGAUGAAUAAAUUUACAUGACUCCUCCCACAAAUCUUACUCUCUCUCAUCCAACGCAAGUUUGUAAACUUAGAAAAUCUUUAUAUGGACUAAAGCAGGCGAGUCGACAAUAGACUCAAAACUAACUCAGACUAUAAUACAACUUGGUUAUGUUCAAAGUACAACUGAUAAUUCUUUAUUUAUUCGCACAGACAAUCAUUAUUUCACCGCUCUGUUGAUAUAUGUUGACGACAUUAUGUUGGUUGACAAUAAUCUUCAAGAAAUCCAACUUGUUAAAACUCAUCUUCAUAACUCAUUUAGUAUCAAAGAUCUCGGUACUCUUCGCUAUUUCUUGGGAUUUGAGAUAAGUCGUUCACCUUCUAGUAUUAUUCUCAAUCAACAAAAAUAUUAUUUAGAUCUUUUUCUGAUAGUGGUUUAUUGGCUUGUAAACUCGCAUCUUCUACCAUGGAACCAUCUUAUCCUUUCUCCGGAGCUGAAGGUUCAUUACUUUUGAAUCUAGGUGAAUAUAGAAGAUUGACUGGGCGUUUUUUAUAUAUACCUUACUCACUUUAGGCCUGAUAUCAAUUUUGCGGUUCAUAAACUCAGUUAGUUUAUUUCAAAUCCACGAGAACCUCAUAUGACAGCAACUCUUCGUGUAUUACAAUAUUAUAAAAGGAUGUCUUGGUCUUGGUCUAUUCUUUUCCAGUACUAAUCAAAUUGUUAUUAAAACUUUUUCUGAUUCAAAUUAGGGAACUUGCAUUGAUUCUAAAAGGUUUAUCACUAGUUAUUGUGUAUUUAUGGGAAACUCUUUAAUUUCAUGGAAGUCUAAAAAGUAGUCUACAGUGUCCAUAUCUUCUUCAGAGGGUGAAUAUAGAGCACUAGCUUCACUUGUUUGUGAACUUCAAUGGUUACAAUAUUUGUGUCAUGAUUUGCAUACUAAUAUUUCUGAAUCGUUUGUUAUCUAUUGUGACAAUAAAUCUGCUAUAUGCAUAGCAAAGAAUCCCAUGUUUCAUGAGAGGACGAAACAUAUUGAAAUUGAUUGUCAUUUCUUUCGGACUAAACUUCAAGAAGGUCUCAUUCAUUGAAUCUCAGUUUCUUCCACAAAACAAGUGACUGAUAUGUUGACCGAACCUCUCCACGAACAUGAAAUAUAUACAUGAUACAACUUGUGGGGCGCUAUUAGAUGAUAUAAUAUCUUAGAUUUUGAAUUUUAGCUACUCUUUCAGUUAUCAUUUGUAACCACUACGCCAAAAAUUUGAAUUAGCUGCAAAAAAAAUCAAAGGUGGUAUGUGGACUCUAAAUUUAGUCAACUAAGCCUUCACUAUUUAAAAAAAGCGUGGGAAAGCAUGGGAAAGCGUGGGUUAUACCCACGUAAAUUUUAAAAAUAAAAAUAAAAAAAUGGUUGUGUGGGUAAAACGGUCACUACCAAAAAUAUAAAUAAUAAUAAUAAUUUAACAAUUUGAAAGUUAAGCCCACGCUAUCUAUUUUAGAAUUAAUUUUAAAUAAAUAAAGAAAUUGUGUAGGUUAAACUCACACUAUCUAUUUUAAAAUUAAUUUUAAAUAAAUAAAGAAAAUGUGAAGGUUAAGUCUAUGCAAAGAAUUAAGUUUAAUUUAUUUGAAAUGUGCUCAGGGGCGUGGAGAAAAGAGUGAAAGCAUUUUGAAGUUUUCAUCGAAGUCGUCAAGUGCGACCUUGAGCAGAAUAGAGCGUGGGAAGAGUUUGUGAGAACGCGAGAAUAUGUGCGACCGUGAGAACGCGAGAUCACCUGAACGCGUGCGACCAUGUGAACUUGAGAACGAGAGUACGCGACCGUGAUGGAGUAGUCGAGAGCGUUACUAAAAUCGUGAAGAAUAACCCUAUGUUUUAUUCCGAUUUCUUUCUUUCUGUGUGUAAUUUUAUUUUUGAAGGUGUAGCCCUAACGAUUUCAUAAUGAUUUUAUUUUCUCAUCGAGUAAUAAAUAAACAAUAAAAUGAGGUUUUGAUAGGAAAGAUCUAUAUUAUCUCAUCACACUAAAAUGAAAACAAAGCUAUGUUCAAGGGGUUAUGUGAUUGAUAACAAAAAAAACCUAUGCUAAAUGAAAACAGAGACAAGCUGCCUCUAUUAUUUUAAUGCAUGAUGAGCUUUACAUCACACGCCAGAUUCUCUAUUAAUUAAUCACAUUUUGCUUUGGUCCAGCUCUUGUUUUAGUUAAAUCAUUUAAGUGCAACCAUUUCUAUCAAAGUUUUAUUUUGUUAAAUCAUUUAGGUGCAGCCAUAUUUUUCUACCUAUGACAAGUACUGUAUAUUUUUUAUUGUUAAAUCAUCAAAGUCCAAUACUGUCACAGCUGGCAAAUACUGUCACAAGGUGUCAAAACUGUAGCAUUUUAUUUCUUAUGUGUAGUGUGCGCUAGACAGAAAAAAAAUUAAAAUAUAAUUUUAUGUGGUUAAUGUGAAGGCUUAAUCCAUGUUUUUUUUUAAAAAAUUGUGGGCAAAACAUGUAUGUUAAGUGCUGGGAUGCUUAAAAAUUAUGUGGAUCCCAUAUUUUAGUAUAAAAAUAUAUUUUGUGUGGGUAACAUGUAGGCUAACUACACGUGUUUUUUUAAAUUGUGUGGCAAAUGGAUAGACUAAGCCCAUGCUUCUUUAGAUGACAAUAUAAAUAUAAUUUUGUGGGGCGCAUGUGAAGGCUAAGCUCAAGCAUAUUUAAAAAUUGUGUGGUCAUUGUGUUGGCUUAGUCCACGCUUUUUUCAAUAAAAAAAUAUAUAAUAUAAUUUUGUGUGUGAAGCAUGUAGACUAGACCUUACAAAAAAUGGUAUUCCACGCAUCUCUACUACUUUUUACGUUAAAUAUAUUAGCUUCCAAAUUUAAAUAAACUCUAACCACACAAUAAUUAAAUUUUUGCGAACAUUUCUCAUGCAUAAUAUCCGUUUUGGUACAUUCUAAUAAUAAAUGUAUUUCUUGUAGUGAAGUGUUAAAUUUCUAAAUUAGAUGUAUAAAAGUAAUACCACACCAUAAGAGGGCUCAUUUGGAUAAGAGAACAACUCAUAUUCUCAACCAUAACAAAGCCAUCUACUCAGAGUAAUUUUUUAAGAAUUUCAAUUCUUAAAAUUAUUUAAUUUUAGCCUAUUUUCUCAUAAAAGUGGUGGUCUCAAGGAGUGGAUGAGGUUUGGUGAGCUUUGGAAAGUUUGAUCUGGUUGAGUUCCCGAAUGAGUUCCUUCAUGUUGUUGUGCGAAGAGCCACCAUUUUGUAUAGCCCUCUUUGCAGCAUCGCUUAACGUCUUCGCUCUUCUCCUCAGUUCUUCACUCUCCUCGCUCAUCAUCACACCAAUCGCGUUUCCAAUGUCUUCUCGUUUCACAACUUCACUCCCAAACUGGUUCCAGUUUCUCCACUCUUUGGCCCCCACUGACACUCCAAUUUUCAGCACAUCCACCACCAGCUUCUCAUUGUAAAACUGCUCCGCAAACAGAGGCCACGUCACCAUCGGCAACCCCGCGUUCACGCUUUCCACCACCGUGUUCCAACCACAGUGAGUAACCAAUCCUCCAAUCGCAGGAUUCUCUAGUAUCAGCAAUUGCGGCGCCCAACCCCAUAUCAGGUACCCUUUCUUGCUUUCCUUCACUUUCUUCUCAAACUCUUCCAAAAACUUUUCUCCUUCUCCAACCCCAUCGUUUUUCCUCACCACCCAAAUGAAAUCUUUCCCUGAAUCUUCAAGCGCAUGCGCGAUUUCAACAAGUUGGGAGUACGGAAACUUGUUCAUGCUCCCAAAACUCACAUACAAAACAGAACUCUUUGCCUUAGUGUUGAGCCACUUAUGCCACCCUUCUUCUUCUUCUUCGUCUUCCUCUUUAGCGUACCCUCGUGCAGCCUUAUCCGAAGCAUCCUGGUUCGCCCACAACGAAACCGGUCCAAUUCCCCAACUCUUGGUCCCCAUCACGCCCUUGUAGUGCUCGUAGUAAGCACUCUCGAGGUCGUAGAAACUGUUGAACAGAGAUCCGUAGCUCUUUUUUUCCGACUCCUUAAUCGUCUUCAUCAACUCCGUGUACUGGUUCGGAGAUCUGAGCCAAUCCGGCAACUGCAACCGCGUCAUCUCCAACCUUUCGGGCAACCCAGGUAACACAAACCUGUCGCUGUCGGAUUUCGCCGCAAGAUGGGGUGCGUACUGCUCCACCGCGUGCGCAGCGGAGCGAGCGAGAUAACUUGCGCCGUGAAACAUGAUCCUGGGAAUUCGGAGCUUGGCGGCGGCUUCGACAGUCCAAGGAUGGAACAUGUCGGUGACGAUGAAGUCUGGUCGGAGGUCGUGGAAGAGCUGUUCGAAGCAAGGUUGGAGAAUGGCGAGACCCAUGUAGAUUCUGGGGGCCAUCUCGGGAGGCGUGUCGACGUUGAACGCUUCGAUCCCCGGCGGAAGCCCCACUUGGGCGGCGGGGAAGUUAACCAAGUGCGUUCUGAUGGAGCGGCCGCGACUGGAAUCGAG